CUAAUACAUGCAAGUCGAGCGGACAGAUGGGAGCUUGCUCCCUGAUGUUAGCGGCGGACGGGUGAGUAACACGUGGGUAACCUGCCUGUAAGACUGGGAUAACUCCGGGAAACCGGGGCUAAUACCGGAUGCUUGUUUGAACCGCAUGGUUCAAACAUAAAAGGUGGCUUCGGCUACCACUUACAGAUGGACCCGCGGCGCAUUAGCUAGUUGGUGAGGUAAUGGCUCACCAAGGCAACGAUGCGUAGCCGACCUGAGAGGGUGAUCGGCCACACUGGGACUGAGACACGGCCCAGACUCCUACGGGAGGCAGCAGUAGGGAAUCUUCCGCAAUGGACGAAAGUCUGACGGAGCAACGCCGCGUGAGUGAUGAAGGUUUUCGGAUCGUAAAGCUCUGUUGUUAGGGAAGAACAAGUACCGUUCGAAUAGGGCGGUACCUUGACGGUACCUAACCAGAAAGCCACGGCUAACUACGUGCCAGCAGCCGCGGUAAUACGUAGGUGGCAAGCGUUGUCCGGAAUUAUUGGGCGUAAAGGGCUCGCAGGCGGUUUCUUAAGUCUGAUGUGAAAGCCCCCGGCUCA
rnacentral:rRNA from 1 species